CAUGUGGUUAUACCGGCUAUUGAUGAAUGACCUUUCUUGAUACAUUGCCAUCUGAGGGAUCUGAGAUGAUGGGUGUUCAGCUUCGGAUGCAUCCUUCAGCUUU